ACUUCACUUCAGGAGAACAAGUUUAAAUCCCAGCAAUGAUACCAGUCCUGGCUACAUGUUGCUUAUUGCUAUGUGUUUCAUAUGCAGAAUCUCAAACAUUGAGUCUGACUCCAUCAAAUAAUGCAGUUAAUCUGGGAGAGAGCGCAACUUUCAGCUGUAAUGUUGGAGCUAAGGAUGUUGACUGGGUGUACCUUCUAAAGCAGAUACCAGGGAAUGCCCCACAGCUGAUUAUAUAUCAUCACCAUUCAUUCACCUCUCCUAGAUAUGGCCCAGGGAUAUCUACUGACCGUUAUACUGCCACCAUUAACAGUGCAGCCACUGAGUAUCAGUUUAUCAUUAAGAAGGCAGAGACAGCAGACACUGCUCAUUAUUACUGUGUGAAGUUGUUUAGGAGCAUUUCAGCAUCCCACAGUGAUACAGAGUCUGACAAGAAUUGGUCACACAAAUUACUUGCUGACAGAAUAAGGAACUGCCUUGUGGCAGACUGCAUAAACUACAUCUACACUGUGGUACCAGUUGUGUAUACUGAUAUCACACUGAAUUAUAACAAACCGUUUAUGAGUGAACCCAUUAUGAUAUCCAAUUUUUGUUUUUGUACAUAUUCAAGCUCAUAUUAA